CCGCCCGCUGGGCCGGCGCCCGGAGGCCCGCCCCUUCUUGCGGGGCGCGGCGGCGGCAGAACCUUCCUGCGGCUUCGGCAGACGCCCGGCGGC
rnacentral:tRNA from 1 species